rnacentral:rRNA from 1 species
CACGUAGGGGGCAAGCGUUGUCCGGAUUUAUUGGGCGUAAAGAGCUCGUAGGCGGCUUAGUAAGUCGGAUGUGAAACCUCCAGGCUCAACCUGGAGACGCCAUCUGAUACUGCCGUGGCUUGAGUCCGGUAGAGGAGCAGGGAAUUCCUGGUGUAGCGGUGAAAUGCGCAGAUAUCAGGAGGAACACCAGCGGCGAAGGCGCUGCUCUGGGCCGGUACUGACGCUGAGGAGCGAAAGCCAGGGGAGCAAACGGG